CAAUUUUAGGAUAUUAAUAAUGAUACUAAUUAGGUCUAUUUUGGAUAGCAACUGUAAAAUAAUUAUUCUUAAAUUAUUAGUAAUAUUAGAAGCUGAAAGGAAUAGUUUAGAAGAAAUGCGGGACAAAGUUGGAUGUCAACAGACGGAAUCUUUCAACUAAUGAAAAUUACAUUUUCUCUUCUCUUUUUUUUAACAACGCAGUAAUGUUAAAUCACACAAAGAAGAACGUGACUCCAAUUUUCGGCUCUUGCAUGGAUAAUUUCGAUUACUCUUUGUGCGGAUGCAACCCAAAUUAAAUUUUUGACCAAAUAUGAAAAUAAUGACACAAGUGUUGGCCUAGGACGAACUAGUGGCUAACACUUCGUGUCACCAAACUCCAUUCUUGCCCAAAAAACGUUGCAGAUCUAAAAAUAGUGAGGCGCGGUUGCUUAUUCGGACAGAGAGACGAGGGAUUAGGGGUGAAUAAGGACUGGUGGUUAUAGGGUAGAGAUUUUAGCAAGUUUGGAAGCCUUUGGCAGUGGCACCGCCGUCUGGAGGAGUGAAAGUUUGGGAGGCGGCUAGGGUUUGGCUCUAAAGGGAGAUAGAGAAGAAUGAGGGGUGGUCUCUAGGUUUGGGGGCUCUUAGGACAAUUAUAUGGGAAUUGGGAGGGGUGUUCAGAGCCAUUGGAUUAGAUUGGACG
rnacentral:lncRNA from 1 species